rnacentral:rRNA from 1 species
CAAACUGGAGAUGGCGACCGGCGCACGGGUGAGUAACACGUAUCCAACCUGCCGAUAACUCGGGGAUAGCCUUUCGAAAGAAAGAUUAAUACCCGAUGGCAUAAUAGAACCGCAUGGUUUGAUUAUUAAAGAAUUUCGGUUAUCGAUGGGGAUGCGUUCCAUUAGGCAGUUGGUGGGGUAAUGGCCCACCAAACCUUCGAUGGAUAGGGGUUCUGAGAGGAAGGUCCCCCGCAUUGGAACUGAGACACGGUCCAAACUCCUACGGGAGGCAGCAUG